GUUUAUGUCACCUUUUUUUGAAGCUUAUAAAUUAAUUUACACCAUGCAACAUGUUUAUUUAUAAUUACUUUUUCAGCUUUGACACUAUUGCAUAAAUCCGUUUUAUACUUACAUGUAUUACAAAUGCUAACCCCAUGUGGGUCUCAUGCAUGUAAAUAGGGGCUUUCCAACCGUGUUGAAAAGACACAGACUUGUGCAAUUCUUUGUUGUUUAACUUGUGAUAAAUCUUUCCAUUCAUCCAUGUAUUUAGAUAGUGAUGUCAUUGAUGUUACAAAAACUGUCACAAGAAGAUACCGCAUAUUGAUAAUCACAUUAUAACAUAUAAACUUAUAUUUAAUGUCAUUAUUUAACUAAUUCAUUGAAUAAUGAUGUCCAUUUUCUUGUGACAUUUUUUCGGUGUCAUUUUUAAUUUUGAAAAAAUGAAUAUUGUAUGUAAGCUGCAUGUAUGUGACAAUAAAUGUCAAAAACAGAAUAAAAUAUGUGGUUUAAAAU
rnacentral:misc_RNA from 1 species